rnacentral:rRNA from 1 species
AGCGAACGCUGGCGGCAGGCCUAACACAUGCAAGUCGAACGAACCUAUCGGGGUUAGUGGCGGACGGGUGAGUAACACGUGGGAACGUGCCUUUAGGUUCGGAAUAACUCAGGGAAACUUGUGCUAAUACCGAAUGUGCCCUUCGGGGGAAAGAUUAAUCGCCUGUAGAGCGGCCCGCGUCGGAUUAGCUAGUUGGUUGAGGUAAUGGCUCACCAAGGCGACGAUCAGUAGCUGGUCAGAGAGGAUGAUCAGACACAUUGGGACUGAGACACGGCCCAAACUCCUACGGGAGGCAGCAGUGCGGAAUCUUGCGCAAUGGGCGAAAGCCUGACGCAGCCAUGCCGCGUGAAUGAUGAAGGUCUUAGGAUUGUAAAAUUCUUUCACCGGGGACGAUAAUGACGGUACCCGGAGAAGAAGCCCCGGCUAACUUCGUG